rnacentral:rRNA from 1 species
AGUGAACGCUGGCGGUAGGCCUAACACAUGCAAGUCGAACGGCAGCACAGUAAGAGCUUGCUCUUACGGGUGGCGAGUGGCGGACGGGUGAGGAAUACAUCGGAAUCUACUUUUUCGUGGGGGAUAACGUAGGGAAACUUACGCUAAUACCGCAUACGACCUACGGGUGAAAGCAGGGGAUCUUCGGACCUUGCGCGAUUGAAUGAGCCGAUGUCGGAUUAGCUAGUUGGCGGGGUAAAGGCCCACCAAGGCGACGAUCCGUAGCUGGACUGAGAGGAUGAUCAGCCACACUGGAACUGAGACACGGUCCAGACGCCUACGGGAGGCAGCAGUGGGGAAUAUUGGACAAUGGGCGCAAUCCUGAUCCAGCCAUACCGCGUGGGUGAAGAAGGCCUUCGGGUUGUAAAGCCCUUUUGUUGGGAAAGAAAAGCAGCAGGUUAAUACCCCGCUGUUCUGACGGUACCCAAAGAAUAAGCACCGGCUAACUUCGUG